UAGUGGCGGAAGGGUUAGUAAUACAUGGGUAAUUUACCUCUAACUUAGGGAUAACGGUUGGAAACGGCCGCUAAUACCGAAUGUGGUGGUGAUAGGCAUCUUAUACGCAUUAAAGCUGGGGAUCGUAAGACCUUGCGGUUCGAGAAGAGCCCAUGGGAUAUCAGCUAGUUGGUGUGGUAAUGGCGCACCAAGGCUAAGACGUCUAGGCGGAUUGAGAGAUUGACCGCCAACACUGGGACUGAGAUACUGCCCAGACUCCUACGGGAGGCUGCAGUCGAGAAUCAUUCGCAAUGGGCGAAAGCCUGACGAAGCGACGCCGUGUGAACGAAGAAGGCCUUCGGGUUGUAAAGCUCUUUCGCUAGGGAACAAGGGAAGCGGGAUAAUAACUUACUAACUUGAGGGUACUUGGUAAAGAAGCACCGGCUAACUCCGUGCCAGCAGCUGCGGUAAUACGGAGGGUGCAAGCAUUGAUCGGAAUUACUGGGCGUAAAGGGCGCGUAGGCGGCGGAAAAAGUCAGAUGUGAAAUUCCGGGGCUCAACCCCGGAGCUGCAUUUGAAACUUCUUGUCUAGAGGAUGGUUAGGGAAAACGGAAUUCCACGUGUAGCGGUGAAAUGCGUAGAUAUGUGGAAGAACAUCAGUGGUGAAGACGGUUUUCUUGGGCGAACCUGACGCUGAGGCGCGAAAGCUAGGGGAGCAAACAGGAUUAGAUACCCUGGUAGUCCUAGCCGUAAACGAUGAAUACUGGGUGUAGGUGGGCUCAACCCCAAUUGUACCGGAUGCUGUCGAAACCUUUUAGCCGCCUGGGGAGUACGCCCGCAAGGGUGAAACUCAAAAGAAUUGACGGGGGCCCGCACAAGCAGUGGAGCAUGUGGUUUAAUUCGAUGCAACGCGAAGAACCUUACCCAGGCUUGAAAUGUAAAGAACAACCUCAGAAAUGAUGCUUCUCUUCGGGACAUCUGGAUAGGUGCUGCAUGGCUGUCGUCAGCUCGUGCCGUGAGGUGUUGGGUUAAGUCCACCAACGAGCGCAACCCUUAUCGUUAGUUGCCAGCAUGUAAAGGCGGGAACUCUAAUGAGACUGCCUGGGUUAACUAGGAGGAAGGUGAGGAUGACGUCAAGUCCGCAUGGCCCUUAUGUCCGGGGCUACACACGUGCUACAAUGGUCGAUACAGAGGGCUGCGAAGCCGCGAGGCGGAGCAAAUCCCAUAAAACCGAUCUCAGUUCAGAUUCUAGUCUCAACUCGACUACAGAAGUUGGAAUUCCUAGUAAAGGCGUGUCACUACAGCGCCGUGAAUACGUUCCCGGGCCUUGUACACACCGCCCGUUCACAUCAUGG
rnacentral:rRNA from 1 species